rnacentral:rRNA from 1 species
AGAAUCAACGCUGGCGGCGUGCCUAACACAUGCAAGUCGAACGAGAAAGUGGAGCAAUCCAUGAGUAAAGUGGCGCACGGGUGAGUAACACGUGACUAACCUACCCUUGAGUGGGGGAUAACCUAGGGAACCUGGGCUAAUACCGCAUAAUACCUUCGGGUCAAAGGAGCAAUUCGCUUAAGGAGGGGUCGCGGCCGAUUAGUUAGUUGGCGGGGUAAUUGCCCACCAAGACGAUGAUCGGUAU